rnacentral:rRNA from 1 species
GACGAACGCUGGCGGCGUGCCUAAUACAUGCAAGUAGAACGCUGAAGGAGGAGCUUUCUCUUCUGGAUGAGUUGCGAACGGGUGAGUAACGCGUAGGUAACCUGCCUGUUAGCGGGGGAUAACUAUUGGAAACGAUAGCUAAUACCGCAUAAGAGUAGAUGUUGCAUGACAUUUGCUUAAAAGGUGCAAUUGCAUCACUACCAGAUGGACCUGGGUUGUAUUAGCUAGUUGGUGGGGUAACGGCUCACCAAGGCGACGAUACAUAGCCGACCUGGGAGGGUGAUCGGCCACACUGGGACUGAGACACGGCCCAGACUACUACGGGAGGCAGCAGUAGGGAAUGUUCGGCAAUGGACGGAAGUCUGACCGAGCAACGCCGCGUGAGUGAAGAAGGUUUUCGGAUCGUAAAGCUCUGUUGUAAGAGAAGAACGAGUGUGAGAGUGGAAAGUUCACACUGUGACGGUAUCGUACCAGAAAGGGACGGCUAACUACGU